GAAUCCUUUUCUCCAUACUACUAAGAAAAUUACAUUUUUAGUAUUUAAAAUACUACGAUUGUUUAACCAGUAAUCACCAACUGCAAAGUAAAGUUCCAUACAUGAGGUGGACUAGUUGAGACCUCCCUUAUUCACAUGAUUAGAUGAUUUGAUCUAAUUCUUGAUUUGGUGGACCAUCAUGUUUAUCCUCAAUUAAUUUAAUUCCUCGUUUUAUUUAGGUAUAAGAAUUUCGUACAAUUAUCAUCUAUGUUAAUUAAACUAUUUAAUAAUUGUUUUUUUUUUAAAGAAAUGUGGACUUUGGUCAUUUUCAUAAUUUUUAAUAGCGAAGAAAUCUUUCCCCCAGCUGCCACGUAAUUGCUGGAACUAUAAAUUCGGAUGGGAUGCCUUCGACUUCUCCGCCCCCUAACCAUAUAAAUAAUUUUAAAAUUAUUAUUUGAACGAUAAAUAAUUUCACCUAUUUUUUUUUUCAAUUUCAUAAAUUACUCGUAAAAUAAGAUGUUAUUGAAAUCUAGUGUUAAAUUUGUCUUUUUAUUUAUUUAAAUUCUCCUUUAAUAUUUAUUCAUAUAAAUUAAAAAGGGUUAGAAAUAACAAAUUUGACAAAAUAUAUAUAAUAGCAAAAUUUCAAAUUCCAUCACUUUCUAUCAGUUUUGACCAUAAUAGUAUCUAAAAUUUUGUUAUUUUGAAGGAGGCUUGAACAUGCUUCUAUCAAUUUAUUUUACUAUUUUUAAAAUUGUCUAUAAAUUAUACUUUUUGUUAUAGAUUUUUAAUUAAUAAUUUUAGAAAACUAAUUUGAAAUUAAAAAGUAAAAGAAAUAAUUUUAAAAAAGAGAUGUUGGCAAAAGUAGAAAAAAAAAUGAAAAUAGAAUUCGUGUCAUUACAUUUUUUUAAUUUUCCGCAUAGGUAUAGAUGUAGGAAAAAAAAAUUAUGUAUGCAAUUUUCUAGUAAUUUUUCUUUAGAAUUUAAGUAGAAGACUAAGGUGUUUUUAGAAAUGAAUGGACAUAACCUAAAUAGUUAUUAAAUCGACUCUCAACUUUUACCAUAAAAAAAUGAGUGGAAAUAUAAUUGUGUCAUUUUCUUUGGUUAAUGUAAGACGCUUAACUAAAUAGAGCGAAAACGAAGAAGAAGAAGAAAGUAUAAAGUUAAAAAAAUGGAUUAGGACUUGAGAGUGAGAUUUCACGUCAAUUAAUUCACGCUUAGCAAAACUAUUAGCACAAACCUUCUCUGUUUUAUCUCUCGAUUCCUUUAUUCUGCCAUUUUUGGUUCUCCCACUUGCAAUCCCACUCAGCUCACGUUUGUAAGGAGGAGCCCUAGCCUCUGCUUCCGGGACCAUCAUGUCGCCGUCUGCUGGCGGAUGCUUCGACGCUG
rnacentral:lncRNA from 1 species